rnacentral:rRNA from 1 species
GACGAACUGCCCAAACGUUGUUCGGAAUCACUGGGCUUAAAGGGCGCGUAGGCGGCAGAUCAAGUCAGGGGUGAAAUCCGGCAGCUCAACUGUCGAAGUGCCUUUGAUACUGAUUUGCUCGAGGGGAUAUAGGGGUCUGUGGAACUUCUGGUGGAGCGGUGAAAUGCGUUGAUAUCAGAAGGAACGCCGGUGGCGAAAGCGACGGACUGGAUAUCUUCUGACGCUGGAGGCGACGAAAGCUAGGGGAGCAAACGGG